GCCAGGACAAGGGCUGAACCAGACCUGGGAGGGAGGAGAUGGAGACCCAGAGAAAGGUGGUCUGAUCACGUGUUGGCGAAACCGUCAGGCGCAGUGCUGCGAACAGAGGGAGGAAUGCGGGUGCUCACCUGUCUACAGAGGUGACGGGUUUAUCAUGGCAAAGGACCCUGCAUGGAGCUACGCCUGAAUUGUGGUCCAAAUGUCAGUUGGCAGAGUUGGAACGGGAAAAGUUCUAUUGCCUCCAGAGGAAAUGCACGAGGGCUAGACAAGACAUUUCUGAAGGGUCCCUCAGCCCGUCAAGUGGCCCUGGAUGGCUGGAAGAGCACUCAGAGGUCAUGAACUUGCCUGGAACCUUGCCCCACCUCAUCCUUUGUCUGACCACAGCAGGACCCAAUCAAAGUCCCCUUGGCCUACUCCACAGUCCACCUCUGCAGUGAGAUACCGGGAGCAGCCCAUUUCUGCAGGAUGGAGAUAUUUCCGAUGCCUCUCCUCCUUUGACAUCUUCCCAAUUCUCUUCAAUAUACUUUCUUAACUACAAAUGGAUUCUCAUGGCUGGUCCUACCUGACUCUACACACAAUCCUGGGGCUGGUGGUAGCCCUCACUCUGUAGACCAGACUGGCCUCAAACUCACAGAGAUCCCCCUGCCUCUGCCUGGGCCUACCUCUGUGCUGGGAUUAAAGGUAUGGGCCACCACAACCUGGCCCAACAAUGACUCUUAAACCCAGCUCCCUCUCCUGGCCACUGGAGGUCUAUUGGCACAUCACUUUCUGUGUUACUGACCCAGAUUCUCUGCCCCUCUGACUCUCUCAGGCUACAAGGUAGACCCUUCUCUAGACCCUCAAAACAGUGAAUGCGACAACCUCUUGCCCAUUCUCCCAAACCAGAGACACAAACAUCAGUCUCGCCUCUUCCCAGCUCCGUGUUCUGUCAGUCCUAUUUUUUAAGCAGUUGUCUGUCAGCUGUCCUCUCCACUCUCCCCAUGUGAGAUGGCUACAUCUCCCCUGUUACAGACUCCUGGCCUCAGGGCCAGUUGUGCCAACUCGGAUCUUUUCCUUGGUUUGGGGACUCCCAUGGGUACACACGCUGCCCCACUAUGACAUAUUUUAAAAUUCUUUUAUUACAAGAUUGUCCCAGAAAGCCAUUUUUGAGAAAGGUCAACCAUUCAAGGAUCCCAACCAAAAAACAAAACAAAACGAAACAAACAAACAAACCAGUGUUUCAAAAUAAAUUUAUCUUUCAGAUCCUUGCAACAGGGAAUUGCCCAAGAGGUUUUCUUUAAACUUAUAUGACAAUUAACAUCAUUUUGCAAGAGGACACUCGAAAAUACAAUAUGAGAGAGAGAGAGAGAGCUGCCUCUAGGAUAACCCAACAGCUUAUAAAACACAGCCUUCCACAUUUGUCCAUUUUUUUUUCAAAAGACCCAAAACUCUGAGUUGAAAUUUCACAACUUUUAAAUGUUGCAUAUCAAUUUGAAAGGUUUUUUAAAAGCAUUGUGCAGCUUUAGGCUC